AUUUGGUGGUGAGGACAUUUCUUUUGUAUAUCCUUAAAUUGUUCUCAUGCCUCAUGUAAAUUUUUCUCUUCAUAUUGUUGGAAACUAGUAAUUUCAUUUCGCAAUUU
rfam:Gossypium arboreum cultivar AKA8401 contig_13109_7, whole genome shotgun sequence.